rnacentral:rRNA from 1 species
CCUACGGGGAGCAGCAGUGGGGAAUAUUGCACAAUGGGGGAAACCCUGAUGCAGCGACGCCGCGUGAGUGAAGAAGUAAUUCGUUAUGUAAAGCUCUAUCAGCAGGGAAGAAAAUGACGGUACCUGAGUAAGAAGCCCCGGCUAACUACGUGCCAGCAGCCGCGGUAAUACGUAGGGGGCAAGCGUUAUCCGGAUUUACUGGGUGUAAAGGGAGCGUAGGCUGUUUCGUAAGUCGUGUGUGAAAGGCGCGGGCUCAACCCGCGGACGGCACAUGAUACUGCGAGACUAGAGUAAUGGAGGGGGAACCGGAAUUCUCGGUGUAGCAGUGAAAUGCGUAGAUAUCGAGAGGAACACUCGUGGCGAAGGCGGUCUGCUGGACAGCAACUGACGCUGAGGCGCGAAAGCGUGGGGAGCAAACAGGAUUAGAUACCCGUGUAGUC